rnacentral:rRNA from 1 species
UACGUAGGUGACAAGCGUUGUUCGGAUUUACUGGGCGUAAAGGGCGCGUAGGCGGUAGCACAAGUCAGUUGUGAAAUCUCCGGGCUUAACUCGGAAAGGUCAACUGAUACUGUGCGACUAGAGUGCAGAAGGGGCAACUGGAAUUCUCGGUGUAGCGGUGAAAUGCGUAGAUAUCGAGAGGAACACCUGCGGCGAAGGCGGGUUGCUGGGCCGACACUGACGCUGAGGCGCGAAAGCCAGGGGAGCGAACGGG